rnacentral:rRNA from 1 species
CAGCCGCGGUAAUACAGAGGGUGCGAGCGUUGUCCGGAAUCACUGGGCGUAAAGGGCGCGUAGGCGGUCUCUUAAGCGUGUGGUGAAAGCCCGGGGCUCAACUCCGGGUCGGCCGUGCGAACUGGGGGACUGGAGCUUGUCAGAGGCAGGCGGAAUUCCGGGUGUAGCGGUGGAAUGCGUAGAGAUCCGGAAGAACACCGGUGGCGAAGGCGGCCUGCUGGGACAGUGCUGACGCUGAGGCGCGACAGCGUGGGGAGCAAACAGGAUUAGAUACNCUGGUAGUCCACGCCGUAAACGAUGGGCACUAGGUGCUUGGGGGAGCGACCCCCUGAGUGCCGGCGCUAACGCAUUAA